rnacentral:rRNA from 1 species
UACGUAGGGGGCAAGCGUUGUCCGGAAUCAUUGGGCGUAAAGAGCGCGCAGGCGGUCGUUCAAGUCGAGUGUGAAAGCCCCUGGCUCAACUGGGGAGGGUCACUCGAUACUGAUCGACUCGAAGGCAGGAGAGGGAAGCGGAAUUCCCGGUGUAGUGGUGAAAUGCGUAGAUAUCGGGAGGAACACCAGUGGCGAAGGCGGCUUUCUGGCCUGUUCUUGACGCUGAGGCGCGAAAGCUAGGGUAGCAAAC